UACGUAGGGGGCUAGCGUUGUCCGGAAUCAUUGGGCGUAAAGCGCGCGUAGGCGGCCCGGUAAGUCCGUUGUGAAAGUCAAAGGCUCAACCUUUGAAAGCCGAUGGAUACUGCCGGGCUGGAGUCCGGAAGAGGCGAGUGGAAUUCCUGGUGUAGCGGUGGAAUGCGCAGAUAUCAGGAGGAACACCAAUGGCGAAGGCAGGUCACUGGGCCGCAACUGACGCUGAGGAGCGAAAGCAUGGGGAGCGAACAGG
rnacentral:rRNA from 1 species